GCGGCACGGAGCGGCGGAGCUGGCGCGGCGCCCGGCCCGAUAGCGCCGCCUCCGGCGGGGCGGGGAAACGACCCCGCGUGCCGCCGCCUCGGCCCCUCCGUCCGCAUGACGGGAACGGCGGCCCCGGGUUGGCUGCCCGCCGGGGGCCGCCCCGCCCCGCGGGGAAUGGCGGUUGCCACUACGAGGCGCUGCGCGGGUGGGGCUGCAGCGGCGGUUCGUCCCGCGUCGGCUUCUACAGCCGGCAUAUUGGAAACGGUUCUUGAGAAGGAGCGGUGAGCACAGUAGUGUGGCCCGUGAGGUGCUACUCUCAGUGCUGAAUUUAUUUCAGGGGGCUGCAGAUGUUUCUUACUAUUCACCGAUUUUGAUUUACUCCCCCAAAUAUUACUAGAACGAGAUGGCACGCAAACAUACGGCACUCUUCCAGACGUCUCAUUCUGCUUGACUCAAAAAGGACCAACUCUCAGUUUAAAAAAAGAAAAAAGAACUAAACGUGUGACUAUCAGUCUGGAACCAAUUAAAACAACAGCUAAUGAAGAGAAGUUUCAUGCUGACUUUUCAUGAUGGUAAGACAAGAAGACAGUGACAGGAAGAUUAGAACCUAAUCUCUGGUACUCAUACUGGUAUCUUACUAUGUCUGAUCGCACAGGGCACAGAACAAGCAGAUGCUGUGCAAGAUUUGGUUGCUAUUAGCAGUCAUAGCACUGUACUUUGUUGUUCUGAGAAGUAAGAGAAGUAAGAGCGAAAGUGAAACUUGCCUGCAGCUGGAGGGUAUGGCGGAGGAUGGUGUCCUCUAAAGCGUGAAUCCACUUCUCUCUCUCAUCAGCAUCUCGAGCUGAAAAGUAGUCCAAAGAUAUUGCUAAGUUACAUGGAGUCUCACGCACUAAAAGCCGUAAGCAAACAGAUCUGAUGUUCUCACUAAAUAUGGAAGCGAAACUAUAAUAUUUAUCUUAAGUUAUCAAGGACAUAAUUCCACAGUUUUCUUAAUAUCCUGUUUAUUUUUCCAUGGUUACAGCUCCAUAACAUUACUGUGCUCAUCUGCCUUACGGGAGAGAUGUUUCAAGUCAUCAUGCAGGCAAAAAAAUCUCUGCUUUGUAGAAAUUUUCCUCUCCAUACUAUUGAUAUUCUCAGUCCCUGCUCAAGUUAAGAAUUUAUUAUUCCUUCACUUAUGAAUUUAAGUUUCUUUACAACUGAUUAUUUUAAUUCAUGCCACUUUUGCUAGUAAUCCUUUAAUAGUAAUAAAAACUGAGGCUGAUUUAGAUGCAACAACAUUCAGGUAUGGAGAUGUUUGGCAGCAUCACAGUGCACUUCAGUGAGGCUCUGCAUGCACAAGACUCUUCUAAGCAUAACUUCUGUCAGGGUUGUAGUUCUCUUUACAAAUAUUUGGUUUGGGUUUCUCAACCACAAAAAAACCAUCAGAAAGAUACACUUCUAAAGAAUGACUUAACACCAUGGCAGCAAAGGGGACAGAACGGCCGCGUUACUGCAUCACUGCCACCACGAGUGUACUUCAGUUUCAUCAUUACUUACAAUGGAGAAAGCAUGACUUGUUAUAUAAACAAACCUAUUUUAAUCUGAGCCCGUUUUAAAUAGGUGAGUGCUUUUCUGCUCAACAGAUAUAUAUAUAUAUAUAUAUAUAUAUAUAGAAAGACAGAAUAAUUUAAAUAUAAUAAUAUUACGUAAGAGUGAUUCUGCUUUAUUUCUAUUUCAGGGAUUAUUUGUCCCUUGUCCAUCUUUAGGGAUAUACAGGGGAAGAAAGUCUGCACACACACAUCCUCAAUUAAUUAGAUAAUUUUACAUUUUGUUAGUUACAAGCAACCUGUACUAAGUUAUCCACUAAAAUUCUGUUUCAGUGUGAAUUUAGUAACUUUGAGCCUUGAAGAACAAGGAAUAACCUGAAGUGUAUCUAUACAGACAUGUAUAAAUCCUGAUGUGACAUCUUCACUGCGCUGGUCUCAAAGAGCUCCUUGCUGUGCUGGACGAGUGUUUAAAAACUUGAGGAGCAGAGUAAGGAGACACGAGGUGCAUUACAAAUAACAACAGAGGCCUUAUGUAGACAGUACAUAAACUGACCCCCAUACAGAUUUAGAAUAGUUACUGACAAUUGUUUCUCAUUCCUCAUUCAAGUGGAAGGUGCUUACAAGAAACAGGAAGUCUGCUAAAAGCAAGGAAAGCUGAAGUGAGCUGGCACCUAUUAUACACCUGAGAACUAAGAUUCCUAUCUGCCUUACUUAUUAUGAAGGUUAGAAAAAAUAUCUCAAAGUUAUACUGAAAUAUACUCUCCAGUCUCAAAAUGCUGUUUUCAGUCUCCCCAUUCUCAUCCUUCUGCUUCUAUUGCUUUCAUUCUUCAGAAUUCUGCAGCCCGAACCCACCCAUGCUCAAUACCGCCACAGGUCUUCCAAAUAGCUAAAAUAAAAAUUCCUUUGAAUAAAAUAUUUAUUACUUUCUCACAAAUCCAUUCCCUUAAGGCACAUUUCAUUGGCCAGUGGAAGGGGAGAGGGAAGGAAAGUGAGAAAGCCACAGAAGAAUCAUCUCCUGCCCUUGGCAGGGGCUAGCUGCAGGCUUUUUACCUAAGCACACGUGCACACAAACAUCCUGUUCUUUUCCCAGCAUAGCUGACACUUCAGCACUCAUUUCAAGAUCAGGUACAUUUUCCUCCCAUGUUAAUUUGAAUUGUUAUUUACUUCUUUGGCUUUCCUUAGCAAGAGCCAAGAGCUAAGGUCUCCUUAGCAAGACCCCUUUGCCUGCUUUUUGCCAACUUUUCAGAUGCACGUUCUGUGUGGCAGUGGUUGACAUGUUUCAGUGUAUGUAAGGAUUCUCAGGCUUGCUUUUUUCAUUGUUAUUUGUGUUUUUUACAUAACUGUCUCCUGGUCCUAAAGAACACCUUAUUAGACAACUGUGGCACAAGUCAUUGGACCAGACUGGUAUGUAAUUGACAAAUUACGUGAUACAACAAUCCUGUGUUCAAGCUUUUUUGCCUGAGACUGUUUUAACUGAAAAAGGAACAAUUAAGCUGCGGACCAGUGAAUUAAUCUUUGUGUUGCAGCAGACUUCCUAUGACCUUCCAGACUGCCAGCAAAAGGAGGUCACUGUAUUAAACACUAAUCUCUAUACACAGUGGCCCGUUAAUAAAGGUUAUCACAUUUAGACUUGUGUAUCGAGUGCUGUACUCACAGAACAGAGAAGGCUUAUAGCAACAGGGAAGAUCUAAAAACCAACUACUCAGUCCAGCUCAAAAACUGAACUCUUUCCCAUGCUCAUAAACAAACAGAACUUUCAGAGGUUCUAUUCCUUGAAUCGCCCAUCUUACAGCUGUUUUUGCCACGGUUCAGCAGAAAGAAAAAAAAGAAGCUAUACUUUUUUUCUCAUAUACGAGAAAUGACAAUGCUGUAGCAUUGCGUGAUCAAUCUGUAGGUAAGAAGCACAAAUCUCAUCAGCCUUGCUACUAAGACAACGUCUGUCGUAAAAACGCAGAAAUAUCACCACGAGAAGACAGCUUACAGCACAUAAACACACAGUACUGUAACCUUGUCAGCAUUCUCUGAUCAGGACCCAACUUUCAGACCAUUUCUCCCCAUUAAGGGAUCCUUUCAGCUCUCCUCUAUACACUCUUUAAAAAAAAAAAUCAUGGAGAAACAGCAGGUUACAGAUUUUAGUAAAGCAGGCUGCAAGAGAAGUUACAUUAAAUCUAACCAAAAUGGCUGCUGUGAGAUUAGGUGCAAGUAAAAGCUCCCUAAUGGUAAAAGCAAUUUAGAACUGAACAGCUGCCAAAAGAUCACUGAUGAAAAAAAAAUCAAUGGGAACAUUCAAAAAAGAGAUUAGCUAACAUACUUAGAAACAAUUUAUGGGAAAAACCUGCACACAAUGGUCAGAGAUCUGAUAUCCAUCUAUCUGUAGGAAAAGCUGGCUAUCCGUUGCAUUUUACCCUUAAAAAGGGUUACUUUGGAAAAAAAUAGAAAUAAAAAUACUCCAAUACCUUUUCAGCUAAAAAGACUGUGAUGCACACCGUGUAGUACUUGCUCUGCACCAGCUGGUGGAUUUCUUCAGCUGAUGGGAGACUCACCCUGCUCCUUAGUCCCCAUCCCAUAGUGUCCCUGUCACAAGCACCCUGAAGUCAGCCUGACCUUUGUCAUGCUUUGCCCAGGCUCCAUUUCAAAGUUAGUACCACUCCCCUCUGCUCCAGUUCUUAUGGGAAAUCCUACUCCAGAAUUUCUUCCUGCCAACAUAUUUGGGAUAAGGCCAUUAGUAUCAGGACCAGGGAAUGUCACCAGUAUCUAUGCAUUUCUAAAUGUGGAAGAACAGUGUCUGGUCCCUCUUCACAACAGCUGUGACAAAGAGAUGGAGGGUAGGGAACAAGGGAGAGACAUGAGUUACUUUCCCUAAGCCAAUUCUAGCUAGACUGACAGUUACAAAACCGAACAAGGAACACAAUAUCUAAAUGAGAACUCUUUGGCAUUUAAAAGCCAUAGAGGUGUUCAGCUGCUGACAGGUGAUUGAAAUGCUUUUACACUAAUUGGAAAGAGCAGUGAAAUAAAGGAGCCCACAUCACUAUAUGAGUAUUUGCUGUGGCCUUAGCCCAGUGGGUUAAUGCAGUAGCUACCUUGUCAGCCAAAUGUAAAUGUAUUGGGCAUCAGCUACCCACCAAAAUAUCCAUACUAUCUGCAGUUGAGAGAACAAAACCAGUCCCUGUGUUCUUCUCUAUUGUAAAUGCAAGCAUCGUUACCUCAGUUCUUACUGUAAUUUGCCAGUGAACAUCUGCAAAUGGAAGCAGCUAAAUCCACAGAGCUAUACAUUCGGUGCUGUAUGCAAGAGGCAGGGAUCACUGAAGGCUGAAACACUGCAAAUUUACUAUGAUUGUGCCAGUAAAGCUCCUGUUACAUUUUUCUAUUAGAACUAGAAUUUAGAAGAGAAAUUACAAUGUGUUCCCUUAUGCUUAACCUUUUAAUCCUUUCAGUCUGCAGCACAUCCUUCGAAAGUUACCUGCAUAAUUCAUUGCGACAUCUCAGGCAUGUCACAGACAGCCACUGGGUCCUUAAAGCAAUCACAGCCCUAUUUACGACCUGUAAGAGAAGCGCACUUAACCAGUAUGCAGGCACACUGCAGUGAGAUUUAGGAUGAUAAUAAUAUUUGUACAAACUGCAUUUCUUGUGAUUCCACUUAGGAGCACUAAAGAUGAGAAUUAUGGCUUCUGCUGAGGGCCUUCUAUUAUUCGGGAAAAGGAUGCUUUGCAAGGCCCAAAAUAAGCUCUCAUACCUCUGAAUCUCCCAAACUGCCAGGCAGGAUAUGACAGGGAUUUAAAAAAUAUAUCUAUACUACGAGGAAAAGGUGGCACAUGAACUGCUCUCAGCCUUUAUUAUAAUUUCCUAAAUACAGAAUAGAUGUUGUAAUUUAGAGUUCCUGUAUUUGCCGUGAAGAUGUUGUAUGUGUUUAUACUUUAACCAAAUGUUAAAGUACAAAGUAAUGCAUUACUUUUCCUGGCCUAAGCUUGAUAGCGUCUAAAGAUUAGAUAUAAGCAAGUUAGAGAACUCUCCACAAUACGCUUCCCAGCAGCAUUUCUAGGUCAUGCACAGCAGUACUUGGAACACUGAAACUACAAAACACCAUCUCAGAAUUAGCAAGCUGGUGCCUUUUUUUCCCCCGUGUGUGUCUACACAGGCAUCAGGAUGAAAGAAAAGCCUCAAGAUUUAGUUAUAAAAACACAAGGUUACUUAUAAAUACACCGUGCUGUCUCAGUGAAAUGCAUACUUGAUUUUCAUUCACUGUGACCUACUUACGGGCAGAACUCAGUGAAAAAAAAGUCUAUUACACCCACAGAGUCAAUAGAGUCAAUUAUGCAGUCUUUAUCCAGACAAAACUUAGUGGCACUGAUUUGGACACAAAAAUCCCAUAUUUUCUCUCCCAAGGUCAGAAGUAAUGCAGUAGCCUUACACAGAAACAUCCAGAUGACAGACGUGAGAUUCUUCCUAUACUGAGAUCAAUAGGAUUUUUACCACCAAUCUCAAUAGAGAGAUUUUAUCAGCAGUGCCCAAUAACGCAGAAAAGUCACACUUUGUAGCCAAUGCCAGAGGGCUGUUCUGUGGUUAAUGAAGCGGCCUUUUAAAGUCACUGAGGGCCUUUCAAACCACAGAAAGACACGAGAUGAAGCAGCGUUCCAUACAAACAUACCAAAAUACCAUCAUUUCAUUGCUUAUGUGUAUCCUUCUAACACACACAGUGCCCACAUCUAUCAGUAGGUUGAACACCAUCUCAGUGCCUUAUCCCCUCUGUAUAAUUCUGGAGCUGUCCCAGUCAUUCUUUCCCCUUCUCCUAAUGCUCCUCAUGCCAUUCUCCAUCCAUUCAUGGGAGCCAACCCUCCUUUUGUUCUCCCUCCACCCACUGAAGACUCCGGUGCAGUUACUAUAGAUAAAUAAAGUCUAAUCUUGUCCAAAGAAAAAGCACCAAAUGGUCUCCUGUGCGCAAUGCAUUAAGAAGCUUUAUAUGUGAUCUUAAGAAAUCAGUUAAAGUGCUGCUUCACUGUUACCUCAUUACAACUUCCCCAUUGCUUCACUGUCAUUUGGAAUCAAAUUUACGGGUUGCUUUUUGAGGGAGCUCUGUAAUCAGUGCAUAAACACAGCCUCGGGCGGAAACUUCUGUGACAAAGGCAAUCUAUGGUCAGGAAGCUAUUGGUUCUCUCUGGGAAUUCACAAACAAUCUGUAAUGUACUAAUCAAGCACUUUUCAAUGUGAGACAAUCUGCAAGUACUAUGUUUUCAUCAGGAAGUGUCAAUUCCAAGUGUCAAACCUGGAAUUUCUUGUUAAAACAGAAGAAAAUGUUGAACCUCUCACUCUGUCUCUGUCCUCACAACGAGACCUUUCCUGGCUUUUUCUCCCCCUUUCCUCGCACUCACAAAGCUCCUUUUCAGAAUAGCUGCUAUGUAUCAUACCUUGAAUUCACGUAAUAGAUUCCGACUGGUUCCAAAAGUAAAAAAACAAUAAAUACAAUAAAUAAAUAAUACAACGUGCCACAUA